AGCGAACGCUGGCGGCAGGCCUAACACAUGCAAGUCGAACGGUAACAGGCCUAGCUUGCUAGGUGCUGACGAGUGGCGGACGGGUGAGUAACGCGCAGGAAUCUACCUAGAAGUGGGGGAUAACCUGGGGAAACCCAGGCUAAUACCGCAUGAGCCCUAAGGGGGAAAGCAGGGGACCGUAAGGCCUUGUGCUAUUAGAU
rnacentral:rRNA from 1 species